CCUACGGGAUGCAGCAGUGGGGAAUAUUGGGCAAUGGGCGCAAGCCUGACCCAGCAACGCCGCGUGAAGGAAGAAGGCUUUCGGGUUGUAAACUUCUUUUCUCAGGGACGAAGAAUGUGACGGUACCUGAGUAAUAAGCCACGGCUACCUACGUGACCGCAGCCGCCGUACUACGUAGGUGGCAAACGUUAUCCCGAUUUAUUGGGUGGAAAGGGCGUGUAGGCGGGAGCGCAAGUCAGAUGGGAAAACUCAGGGCUCAACCCUGGGCCUGCAUUGGAUACUAUUGUACUUGAGUGAUGGAGAGGCAAUCGGAAUUCCGUGUGUAGCGGUGAAAUGCGUAGAUAUACGGAGGAACACCAGUGGCGAAGGCAGAUUGCUGGACAGUAACUGACGCUGAGGCGCGAAAGCGUGGGGAGCAAACAGGAUUAGAUACCCGAGUAGUC
rnacentral:rRNA from 1 species